UACGAAGGGGGCUAGCGUUGCUCGGAAUCACUGGGCGUAAAGGGUGCGUAGGCGGGUCUUUAAGUCAGGGGUGAAAUCCUGGAGCUCAACUCCAGAACUGCCUUUGAUACUGAAGAUCUUGAGUUCGGGAGAGGUGAGUGGAACUGCGAGUGUAGAGGUGAAAUUCGUAGAUAUUGGGAAGAACACCGGUGGCGAAGGCGGCUCACUGGCUCAUUACUGACGCUCAUGCGCGACAGCGUGGGGAUCAAACAGG
rnacentral:rRNA from 1 species